UACGUAGGGUGCAAGCGUUAAUCGGAAUUACUGGGCGUAAAGCGUGCGCAGGCGGUUUUGUAAGUUUGUCGUGAAAGCCUGUGGCUCAACCACAGAAUGGCCUCGAUACUGGACGGCUCGAGACCGGAAGAGGUCAGUGGAAUUGCGAGUGUAGAGGUGAAAUUCGUAGAUAUUCGCAAGAACACCAGUGGCGAAGGCGGCUGACUGGUCCGGUUCGUGAACGCUGAGGCGCGAAAGCGUGGGGAGCAAACAGG
rnacentral:rRNA from 1 species